rnacentral:lncRNA from 1 species
CUCUAUGCUUAAUUCCCAUCCAAUUUUUCCACCUCUUUUCCUAAGCAAGUUUCAGCACUCACUUCACACCCUUAAUUAGGGAUUGCAUUUACCCAUGAGUAACUAAAAAUCUGACUAAUACACAUUUUUAAGUAAAUUUGCUGUAUAUUUUUCCCCCCCUCACAUAACAAGAAGCCCAGGGUUAGUUCAGAUUCCUUUACACUCUGCUUCAUGCUCCUUGCCUCAUGGUCACAGGAUGACCACACUCCAGAGUCCUGUCCAUGUUCCUAAUUGAUAAAAGAAAGGAACCACUGAGGAUGUAGUCCUCUUAGGAAGCAAUGUUUCCAUCUCCUUCUACCUGAUCGGUCAGAUCUGUAUUACAGGCCAUGCCUAGUUGAAAGGGAUUCUGGGAAAUGUAGUUCUUUUAAGUCGGAUAUAAUUUCACCAUCACCACUAGCAUCCCACUGCCCCCAAACAACAAUAAUUAGUGCUAUUGCUAAGGAAAAGGAAGAAAUCGGAUAUAAGGGAGACGACAGUAUAUGCCAUCCCUUCAUUUUGGUAUUGUCAUUUUCUUCUGCUACAUGCCAACAUUUGACACAAUUUGUAAUGGUAUAUUCAUUUAUUUACUUGUAAGUUUUUUUCUUUAUUGUCUAUAUAUUGCCCUUUGUCCCCAUAGGAUCUAUGUCUGUUUUACCCACCAAUGUCUACACACCACCUAGCAUCCUGCUUGGUGUCUAGAAGAAAUUUGACAGAUACUGGUUCAUUGACGAUGAAGUGAAUAAUAUUGCCCAGGAGGAGAAGUAGACAAGAAAGUUGAGACUCAAGGGUUUAAAUAAUUAUUCUAUAUAAUAUGUCAGUCUCCAGUGCCACCAUUAACUUUCCAUCUUUGGACACGGAAAAUGUCACCACAUUAUUUUCCAAAUCACAGAGUGGUCAAUCAUUUCAUUCUUGGAUGGGAGACUCCCAGAUAGCUGUUUUCCACCUGAGGUGUGAGUCAUCUCAACAGGAAACCUAUCCCAUUCACUCCUACAGGAAAAGAGAGAGACUCAAGAACCAUGAAAGGCUCUUUACUGCUCUAUUGAGGAAGAACACAUUUUAUUGUUAUUUGCAUGGACAGAAAAGGCAUAUGUCUCUAACUACAAAGGAGCACAGGGAUGUAAUCUCUGCACGUGCCCAGAAGAAAAGGAGAAAUGGAUACGGGUUGGCAUCAGACCCGUUCUUCCUCUGCUUUAUCACAUUGGUCUUCUUUCUAUUCUUGGAACUCUCCAAGCUUAUUUCUAUUUUAGAAUCUCUAUACUAGCUCUUCUGUAGUGCAAAUAAAUCAAAACAUUCCAUGAACAAAGAAAAACCAGAGCAAGUGCUCCAAUCCUGGAAGAAUGCCCUGACUUAUGUUUCUCACACUGGAAUUCCUUACACACUAUUUCAGGCAGGAGAACAUCUAGACUCUACCUGAAUUACCCCUGGGAAGCGGGGAGCUCAUCACUUUGCAUUAUGAGCAGCAUAACUGCAUUUAUUGAGGAUGAGUAUUUAUUGAGUAUGCAGUG